rnacentral:rRNA from 1 species
AGAGUUUGAUCAUGGCUCAGAUUGAACGCUGGCGGCAGGCUUGACACAUGCAAGUCGAGCGGAGAUGAGGUGCUUGCACCUUAUCUUAGCGGCGGACGGGUGAGUAAUGCUUAGGAAUCUGCCAUUUAGUGGGGGACAACAUUCCGAAAGGAAUGCUAAUACCGCAUACGUCCUACGGGAGAAAGCAGGGGAUCUUCGGACCUUGCGCUAAAUGAUGAGCCUAAGUCGGAUUAGCUAGUUGGUGGGGUAAAGGCCUACCAAGGCGACGAUCUGUAGCGGGUCUGAGAGGAUGAUCCGCCACACUGGGACUGAGACACGGCCCAGACUCCUACGGGGGGCAGCAGUGGGGAAUAUUGGACAAUGGGGGGAACCCUGAUCCAGCCAUGCCGCGUGUGUGAAGAAGGCCUUUUGGUUGUAAAGCACUUUAAGCGAGGAGGAGGCUACCUAGAUUAAUACUCUGGGAUAGUGGACGUUACUCGCAGAAUAAGCACCGGCUAACUCUGUGCCAGCAGCCGCGGUAAUACAGAGGGUGCGAGCGUUAAUCGGAUUUACUGGGCGUAAAGCGUGCGUAGGCGGCUGAUUAAGUCGGAUGUGAAAUCCCUGAGCUUAACUUAGGAAUUGCAUUCGAUACUGGUCAGCUAGAGUAUGGGAGAGGAUGGUAGAAUUCCAGGUGUAGCGGUGAAAUGCGU